rnacentral:rRNA from 1 species
CACGUAGGGUGCGAGCGUUAAUCGGAAUUACUGGGCGUAAAGCGUGCGCAGGCGGCUUUGCAAGACAGAUGUGAAAUCCCCGGGCUCAACCUGGGAACUGCAUUUGUGACUGCAAGGCUAGAGUACGGCAGAGGGGGAUGGAAUUCCGCGUGUAGCAGUGAAAUGCGUAGAUAUGCGGAGGAACACCAAUGGCGAAGGCAAUCCCCUGGGCCUGUACUGACGCUCAUGCACGAAAGCGUGGGGAGCAAACAGG